rnacentral:rRNA from 1 species
GGGCCCACGGCGCGGUCUCGCGCGCGGGAGGUGGAGCGCACUUCUCCCCGAGUAGGACGCCGCGACCCGCUGGGUGUCGGUCUGAGGCCUGGGUGCGAGCCCGUGUCGCGAUUCGUCGCGUCGCGGAGCCCCGGUGUCCCGACCGACCGCUCGGCGGUCGAACGUAAGGAACUGGCCCGCGCUCUUUUGCGCGCUCGUGCCGCUUGCGAGCGUCCGGCUGAACCCGUCGUGCGGACUUGUCCGCCGCGGGCCAGUCGGCGUUGUCGGCUUGCGGAUUUCUCGGGCAGCUUGGCCUCUCCUGUUUGCGGCGCUCACAACUGGGCGGCCCACCCGGCCCGUCUUGAAACACGGACCAAGGAGUCUAACAUGUGCGCGAGUCAUUGGGUCCCACUAAACCCAAGGGCGUAUUGAACGAAAAGGCCGGCCUAGCGCCGGCCGAGGGAGGAUGGGGCGUCGCUCGCGGCGCCCCCGCAUUCCCGGGGCGUCUCGUCCUACCGGCGCUCGUCGCCGGAAGGUGAGGCGCACCAAGAGCGCACACGUUGGGACCCGAAAGAUGG